rnacentral:rRNA from 1 species
AUGCGUCCCGCCGGUGCGGCCUCCGCCUCCACCGCCGGCGAGGAUGGGAACGAGCGCGUGCUGAGCUACGGCGACGUCGUGCUCCUCCGCUCCGACCUUUCCAUCCUCCGUGGUCCCCACUUCCUCAAUGACCGCAUCAUCGCCUUCUACCUCGCCCACCUAUCCGCCGCCUUCGAAGGCGACGACGACGGCGACCUCCUCCUCCUGCCGCCCUCCAUACCCUACCUCCUGUCGAAUCUCCCGGACCCGGACUCCGUCGCCGCCGUCGCUGAGCCGCUCCGCCUUGCCUCCCGCAGCCUCGUCCUCCUCCCCGUCAACGACAACCCCGACGCCUCGGUCGCCGAAGGCGGCUCCCACUGGACCCUCCUCGUCCUCGACGCCACAAACGGCGCCUCCCGCCCGCGCUUCGUCCACCACGACAGCCUCGGCGUCCUCAACUCCGACGCCGCGCGCCAGCUCGCCGCCGUGCUCCGCCCGCUGCUCCCCGGUGCCGCCUACGGGGCCCUGCUCGUCGAGGGCCCUACCCCGAUGCAGGCCAACGGACACGACUGCGGCGUCUACGUCAUUGCAUUGGCCAGGGCUAUCUGUAACUGGUGGAGGGACCGUCGAGGGCAGCAGCAGGAGGGUGGAGCAGAUUGGUUCGACACGGUGAGGAAGGAGGUGGACGCCGAAAGCGUCAAGGCAAUGAGGGCCGAGCUGCUGCACCUGAUCGCUCGCCUCAUCCAAGACAAGGAGGAUGAGAAGAAGAACAAGGCCGGUGAGGGCCGCAAGGAAGAUUGA